CACCGAUGAGUGGGCCUGCCCUUUCUUCCCAAACUCAGAGAAUUGGAAUGGGUUUCCUUACCUGGGACCUGCAGUUGACUGGGGAAUGGAAUCCAGGAUUCUGAGUGCAGAAGUUUCCAGAUUCAGGACUCAUAAAAUCUUAAUAUAGCCCCGAGACUGUCAUGUUUACAGACAGUGCAGCAAAGGCAGUGGCUUGGAGUGUGACCAGAGAGUUUGCAGAACAAACGCACCAGGGAGGGGCUUGGAUGGAAAUAACCAAGCGCUCUCCCCGCAGGGCGUCAGGAAGACAGAAGAAGCUGGACAGAAAGAGAUCAAGAUUUAACUGGUUAUGCUGUAGAGCAUGGCAGAUCGUAACAGAAGACAAAGCCCUUAAAAGGACACAGUUGGAAGCACUGGAUAUAUUACAAGGCUUUGACUGGAAUGCCAUAUUUUCAGAUACGACCAGACAGCUUUAAGGAACUAAGAUUGACUUUAUGGAGCCAAUAAGCCACCCCCAUCUUAAUAAAACUGGCUUGAGGGUUCCAGCCUUACAGACGAAUAAGGAAUAUCCCUUCUUGGCAGGCACAGAAGCCUCAGGAUAUUCAGGGACCUCAAGAAGAGAGGAAUUCACUCAAAUCUAAACGUAACAGAUGAAGCAUGAUGAAACGAAACUAUCCUCAUUAAAGGCCUGAUGGCUCACACCAUCCAGGAGAUCUCCUCUGCUACCAACUCCCAGCAGCUGAUUCAGCGGUCCUUCAUGAACAAUAGGCAACUGAACAAGAAAAUGAGUUUAUAUUGUUCAAAAGAAAUAAGAAUGCCUCUUUUUUCCCUUGAACAAGGGAGGUGGGGACUAACAAAAGAUUCUUUGCUUGACCAAACUUUAGUCAGGCUUCUAAAUCUUCCCCUCAGCCCGUCUGUGCACUUCCUUGUGAAAUCCAGUUUUAGCAAAGAACAUUGCAAGAAAAAAGCAAAGCGGGAAAGGGAUGUAAGAAAGAGUGAGAUGAAUAACACACUUCCAAGAGGGAGGGCUCAAAGAAGGAAAAGGAAAGAUCAAAUGAGUUCCUUAUAUCCCAAAAGAAACUGCAGACACAACGGACCAACAAACUGAGCUCAACUGAACUCUGUAAGUUUCAAGCAGAGAUUCUGUGACAACAGAGAGAUGAAAGGCAAGUUGAGGAAACAAAUGGAAGAAAAAGAUAAAACAUUACAGUGACGGGAACCACGUUCAAAGCCACACAACCCUGAAAGCACAAGUUUGACAAAAUUAUGCAAAACAAACUGGCACAAAAAACAUGCAAGAUUGAUCGUCAAGAAGAUGUAAAUGGCAGGCAAAGGGCAACUGGUUUUUCCAAGAAGAGAACAGAAUGGAUGAAACUGAAAAGGCAUUCAAGGAACCAUGGGAAGCUGACUUUUCAGAAGGAGGACAUGGACUUCCAAUUCAACUGAGCACGUUGUAUCCCAGAAAGAGAAACAUAGACAGAGUGACCCAUGCUGAAGCAUAACUAUGGUUAGCUUCUGAACACAGUGACAAAGGCAGAAUCCUAUCAACCAAAAAGCCAAAGGAAACCAAAGCACAAAUUCCCCCACAGCAUUCAGCACCCGAAGAUGGUGGCCACAAUCUACAGUUUGGGGGAAAGGAAAUGUGGGUCAGCAGACCCUGGCACAUAUAAAGACCACACACAGAUGGCUUUACACGUGUGGGCACUCAGGGCCGACAAUUCCUAAAAGCCGUUUUUGACAGAACACUGAGGAAUCAAACUGUAGAUCUUAGGAACAAGGAACUGUGCUGAAAACGAAUGACAGUCAACACAGAAUCCAUUCUAUUUUGGAAUUAAGACCCCAGCCACUAGUGAAAUUGUGUUAUAAAACAGAGAGUAACUCUUAUAAACAUGGCCGGUGUAAAUCAUGAUGUCAUCACCAAAUCGGAAAAGGAGGUGAGGGAACGCUGGCACUUCCCUCAUCUUUCAGAGCAGGAAGUAAAACUUGAAACAUGCAGUCAUAUCAAAAUCCAAUAACCUUGAAUAAUCACUCUUUGUCUACCCUUUUCUCCCGUUGACUUUGAAGGGAUCAUUUGGUCCUUUUUAUAUUGCUUGAAUUUGUUUUUUUAAUUGAUGCAUAAUAUUCAUACAUAUUUGUGGGGUACAUACAAUGAUAUGGUUUGGAUCUGUGUCCUCGCCCAAAUCUAUUGUAAUCCCCGGUGUUGGAGGUGGGUCUUGGUGGAAGUGAUUUGAUUAUUGGGGUGGAUUUCCCCCGCGUACUGCCCUCAUUAUAGUGAGUGAGUUCUCAUGAGAGCUGGUUGUUCAAAAGCAUGUGGCACUUCCCCCUUGCUCUUGGUCCUGCUCCUGUCACAUAAGACGCCGGCUCUCAUUCACCUUCUGCCAUGACUAGAAGCUCCCUGAGGCCUCCCCAGAAGCAGAUGCUGCCAUGCUUCCUGUACAACCUGCAGAACUGUGAGCCAAUUAAAGCUCUCUUCCUUAAAAAUUACCCCAUCUCAGGUAUUUCCUUAUAGCAAUGUGAGAACGGCUUAAUACAUGUAAUAUUUUGUUAGGUGCAUGGAAUGUGGAGUGACCAAGUCAGGGUAUUUGGGGUAUCCAUCACCUCAAGUAUUUAUUUCUGUAUUCUGGAGAUAUUUCAAGACCUUUCUUGUAGCCAAUUUGAAAUACACCCUACAAUGUUGCUAACUAGUCACCCUACUCUGCUAUUGAAACUUAUUCUUUCUGUCUUACUGUGUGUUUGUAUCCAUUAACCAACCUCUCUGUCCUUCUCCCCACUGAUACACCCUUCCUAG